AAGCUCCUGGAGCCUGGAUGGUUGAGCUUGUGGAGUUGUCUGCGCCGGUUGGUCCUAGCCCCCUCGGAGUUUUCAGGGCCAGCCUACCUCACCCCUUGGUGUCAUGACCACUACCAUCACUUUCAAGGGUGUGGACCCUAACAGCAGGAACAACUCCCAGGUUUUGUGGCCUCCAGGUGGUGGGUCCAACUUUUUAUUAGGCUUAGAUGAGCCAACAGAACAGCCUGUGAGGAAGAACAAGAUGGCUUCUAACAUCUUUGGGACACCUGAAGAGAACCCCCCAUCUUGGGCCAAGUCAGCAGGCGCCAAGUCUAGUGGUGGCAGGGAAGAUUUGGAGCCAUCCGGAACACAGAGAAGUAACUCUUCUGAAGCAAGCUCUGGAGAUUUCUUAGACUUCAAGGGAGAAGGUGAUAUACAUGAAAAUGUGGACACAGACUUCCAAGCCAACCUGGCCCAGAUGGAAGAGAAGCCAGUGCCGGCUGCUCCUGUGCCCAGCCCAAUGGCUCCGGCCCCAGUGCCAUCCAGGAGAAACCCCCCUGGCGGCAAGUCCAGCCUGGUCUUGGGUUAGCUUCUUGUGUUGGAACUCUGUCCUUCUGUUUGUUUGUUUUUUUUUCCAUGCUUGUGAACUGCACAACGUGAGCCUGACUGUACAUCUUUCAGACUUGUUUCAUUAAAAGAGAAG